rnacentral:rRNA from 1 species
UACGGAGGGUGCAAGCGUUAUCCGGAUUCACUGGGUUUAAAGGGUGCGUAGGAGGGCAGGUAAGUCAGUGGUGAAAUCUCCAAGCUUAACUUGGAAACUGCCGUUGAUACUAUCUGUCUUGAAUACCGUGGAGGUGAGCGGAAUAUGUCAUGUAGCGGUGAAAUGCUUAGAUAUGACAUAGAACACCGAUUGCGAAGGCAGCUUGCUACACGAUCAUUGACACUGAGGCACGAAAGCGUGGGGAUCAAGCAGG